UGAAUUGGAUGUUUAGUUGUGUCCAGAGGUGGAUCCAGUGACUCAAGUCUCAUAAACAGCACGGCUCAUACAGUGGUUUGAUGGGGGAUUGGUCGGAUGACAGCUGGAACUGUAGUCAUCACUGGAGGAAUCCUAGCAGCCUUCAUACUUUUGUGUAUUAUUGGAGUGCUUUGUUACUGCAGACUUCAGUACUAUUGUUGCAAGAAAGAUGAACUUUGUGAGGAGACGGAAGACAAUUCAGAUCACGGGGCUCACUCACACUUCCCCUGCCAUGACUGUUCUGCGCACCUCGAUGGACUGCCUCCUCCCUCCGCUACUCCAGCAUACUCCCCGUAUGGUUCUCCAUACUACAUACGGACUGCAGACACCAUUUGCAAUGGGAGGGAUAGAAGCUCCUACACUCCCACUCACUACGCAGAGCCAGGACCCCUCCUUGUGAUGGGGGGCACACCAAGCUUUUCUAGAAGCUUACACGCUCUCAGCACCCAGGUGUGAACAGGGAGAUGCCCCCUGGGUGUUUGAGAAUUUAACACUGCCAAGGAAUGCAGUAUGUUAACUAUGAGAAACGGAUGAAUAUCAAGUCUUCAGGAACACGGACAAAAGACAGAGGGAUGAGUUGUAGGCUUAGCAUGGGCAGUAGACAAAAAAUCCACCAUCGUCAGUAUUGGCACUAUUUAGUACUAUAAGUGCAUUGUGAAGGGUACAACGUCUCAUUAACACUGUGUUUUGUUUAGUAGGAAGAA